AAUUCGAUUAGUUUGAUCCUGGCUCAGGAUGAACGCUAGCGGCAGGCCUAAUACAUGCAAGUCAAGGGGCUCAGCAAUGAGCACCGGCGCACGGGUGCGUAACGCGUACACAACAUGCCCCUGGGUGAGGGAUAGCAUCGGGAAACUGGUGGUAACACCUCAUGGUAUCAGAGGACGGCAUCGCCUUUUGAUUAAAGGUUACGCCCAGGGAUUGGUGUGCGUCUGAUUAGCUAGUUGGCGGGGUAACGGCCCACCAAGGCGACGAUCAGUAGGGGGUGUGAGAGCAUGGCCCCCCACACGGGUACUGAGACACGGACCCGACUCCUACGGGAGGCAGCAGUAAGGAAUAUUGGACAAUGGGCGAAAGCCUGAUCCAGCCAUGCCGCGUGCAGGAUGAAGGCGCUCAGCGUUGUAAACUGCUUUUGGACGGGAACAAAUCACUUCACGUGUGAAGUGUUGAGGGUACUGUCAGAAUAAGCACCGGCUAACUCCGUGCCAGCAGCCGCGGUAAUACGGAGGGUGCAAGCGUUAUCCGGAAUCACUGGGUUUAAAGGGUGCGUAGGCGGUCUGAUAAGUCAGUUGUGAAAUCGCUGGGAAUCACUA
rnacentral:rRNA from 1 species